GCCAGUGUGGCAUAGUGGUUUGAGCACUGGACUGUGACUCUGGAAACCAGGGUUCAAUUCUCAGCUUGGCCA